rnacentral:rRNA from 1 species
GUCGAGCGAUGAGAUCACUUCGGUGAAGGAUUAGCGGCGAACGGGCGAUGAACACGUGAAGAAUCUGCCUUCAACUCUGGGAUAACUCCGGGAAACCGGGGCUAAUACCGGAUAUGAGCCUUGAUCGCAUGAUCGGGGCUGGAAAGUUUUUCGGUUGAAGAUGACUUCGCGGCCUAUCAGCUUGUUGGUGAGGUAAUGGCUCACCAAGGCGACGACGGGUAGCCGGCCUGAGAGGGCGACCGGCCACACUGGGACUGAGACACGGCCCAGACUCCUACGGGAGGCAGCAGUGGGGAAUAUUGGGCAAUGGACGAAAGUCUGACCCAGCGACGCCGCGUGCGGGAUGAAGGCCUUCGGGUUGUAAACCGCUUUCAGCAGGGAAUAAGCGCAAGUGAAGGUACCUGCAGAAGAAGCACCGGCUAACUAUGUGCCAGCAGCCGCGGUAAUACAUAGGGUGCAAGCGUUGUCCGGAAUUAUUGGGCGUAAAGAGCUCGUAGGUGGUUUGUUACGUCGGUUGUGAAAUUCAGGGGCUCAACCCCUGACUUGCAGCCGAUACGGGCAAGCUAGAGUUUGGUAGGGGAGACUGGAAUUCCUGGUGUAGCGGUGGAAUGCGCAGAUAUCAGGAGGAACACCGAUGGCGAAGGCAGGUCUCUGGGCCAAUACUGACACUGAGGAGCGAAAGCGUGGGGAGCGAACAGGAUUAGAUACCCUGGUAGUCCACGCCGUAAACGGUGGGCGCUAGUUGUGCGAACCUUCCACGGUUUGUGCGACGCAGCUAACGCAUUAAGCGCCCCGCCUGGGGAGUACGAUCGCAAGAUUAAAACUCAAAAGAAUUGACGGGGCCCCGCACAAACAGCGGAGCAUGCGGCUUAA